CUUCCUUCGGGAAGGGAUUAGUGGCGAACGGGUGAGUAACACGUGAGAAAUCUGCCCUUCACUCUGGAAUAACUCCGGGAAACCGGAGCUAAUACCGGAUACUCAAAUCUGGCGGCAUCGCUGGAUUUGGAAAGUUUUUCGGUGAGGGAUGAUCUCGCGGCCUAUCAGCUUGUUGGUGAGGUAACGGCUCACCAAGGCUACGACGGGUAACCGGCCUGAGAGGGCGAACGGUCACACUGGGACUGAGACACGGCCCAGACUCCUACGGGAGGCAGCAGUGGGGAAUAUUGGGCAAUGGGCGGAAGCCUGACCCAGCGACGCCGCGUGAGGGAUGAAGGCCUUCGGGUUGUAAACCUCUUUCAGCAGGGAAGAAGCGAAAGUGACGGUACCUGCAGAAGAAGCACCGGCUAACUAUGUGCCAGCAGCCGCGGUAAUACAUAGGGUGCAAGCGUUGUCCGGAAUUAUUGGGCGUAAAGAGCUCGUAGGUGGCUCGUCACGUCGAAUGUGAAACCCUGAGGCUCAACCUCAGGCCUGCAUCCGAUACGGGCGAACUGGAGUGUGGUAGGGGAGACUGGAAUUCCUGGUGUAGCGGUGGAAUGCGCAGAUAUCAGGAGGAACACCAAUGGCGAAGGCAGGUCUCUGGGUCACUACUGACACUG
rnacentral:rRNA from 1 species